GGAACGGCGGGGUAGCCAAGCAACGCCGGACGCGCUGACGUCGCCGGGGCGGCAAAACGUCCGCCCGGGCCCGAGGCGGGCGGAGGCAGCUGUGGUUACGUGCGGGGGGCCGGUGACGCAGUCGCGGGGCGCUAGGACGCGGCGUGCGGAGCCGGUCAGCGGGGACAGGCCCCAAGGCCCCGGCGCGGCGGCGGGACAGCACCUACCUUCCCGGCUUCGGGUCCGGGAGUGCGGGGCGCAGAGCCGCCGGAGCGCUGCCUCCCUCCUUCCUCCUCCCCCCGCCCCCGCCCCGCAGCGCGACACACAAUACUCGCCGGAAGCGGAAGCCGCGCUGAGAGGUUCGUGUCAGUGGAAGCCCGGGUAUCGGCGGGCGGCCGCGAGAAGGCCUAGCGGCGCCUGCGGAACAAGGAGAAGGCGGGGCGCCGGAGGGGAAAACCAGCAGCAGGCGUUAAGGGCGAGAAGAGGCCCGGAGGGGCAGGUGGCUGAAAUGCGGUCGUCCAGGUGACCCGAGGAAUACUCUGGAGAAAGAGGGCCGCGCAUGCGCGUGGCGAAGCGCUGAAGCCCAUUGCCCACAGGGCGUCUACGGGCGCCGGGGCAGGCGGGACCGUCCCGCCCAGGGUGUGGGCCCGGGUUCUGACCCGGCUCGGGCUGGUCCCGGUUGGGGCUGGGAGCCGCCGGGGGCGGGACAAGGGCGGGUUGCGGACUUUGAGCUACACUGCUCCUCUCUCCAGGCCAGUCCCGGGAGAAGGUGGCUCGCCGAGUCGGCGGCCAAUUACGUGGUGGACCUGCGGGUCUCAGCUGGCACGUCACUUCCGACAAGUUGAGUUUAAGCCUUUUAACAUUCAAGGAUUAGCUCAGUUUUCCCUGCCGUGGACUUCGGAUGCUGGUCACCUUGUCCUUGCUAGGCGAGCUUUACGGAAAUAAUCUACCUCCUCCGAUGGAGUGGAAGCCCCGAAAGAGCUGGUACUGUGACUCUGCUGCUCCCCUUUGUGUCCUCAGCUCCUCGCUCGGUGCCCGACCGCAGCGAGCGCGCCGUGAGCACCCGUUCUGGGUGCGAGCCAAUCCCGUCUUUUUCCAGUUUUGUGGCUUUGGCUUGAGUUUCUCCUCAAGAGCAGAUGGUGGUUGUGCGGGGACUCCGGACUCCUGCGUUAUAGCCUCCUUACUUUCCUCUCCUGUUGCUGGAAGCUUCGCAGCCCUGUGACUUUGGAGGACGAGAGCGAGAUGAUGAGGCUGGGGAAGAGUCGGCGGACAGAGUGUCUGACACACAGGAAGCCUUAGCUCAAAGAAGGAGAUCAAGUCUUGGAAUGAAUGAGUAAUUUGCCUGCGGUCACACAGCUGGUGUAUGGCAGAGCCAGAGGAGAAUCUAGAUCCUUAACCACUCAAGAACUAGAAAGAAGAAAACACUGCACGGGUGUCAGGAGACCCAAGGACUAACCUUGAGUUGGCAGCUCUUGUGUCAUCCUACCUAGGAAAUUGAAAAAGUCUCAACUCCCUAUAGAUACCUUUUAAGAUAAAUCGCUGAAGAGAACUGUUGGCUAUAAUGAAGGUCUUUCUACCUCACCUGAAUGCUCUCCAUUAAUGACUCCACUACCCUUUAUUCUUUCUUUCCCUCAUCUUCAUGUUGGGAUGGAACGUUUCCUCAGGAGCGACCACCUUCUGCUCUCCAUGGUCCUGAAAAGAUGUCUCUGGGUUUUCUGAAAGUUUCUGUUUCCCAAAUGCAAAUUUGAGUUUUGAUUGGUUCUUGAAGAAAAAGAAGAUGGCAGAUGAUCUGCUAAUGACUUACUGGAAAACACAGGAGAAUGAAAGGCACUACCCAGGUGGUAGAGUCAGAUCUUCUGUUAUUUUGCAUUUCUCCAUCUCUCCCUCUUUCUUUUGGCUGCCUCAGUGAGUCCAACUCUGCUUCUCUUGUUGCUGAGGUCUCAGACCUUAUGAUUUACUCUAGAGGUGCUGGCAGAACUGAGCUCAGAUUUAGGAUUAAGGAGAUUAGGACUGGAGAAGGAUUAGGUAGGUUCCAGAGGCUGAUGGAUUUAUCUGUCAGAGAGACUUCAGGAGCUCUGUAUCUCUCACACUCAGACCUUUGUCCACUCUGGGAGCAACACAGUGUUGUCACUGAUCAUGCCCUGAUUCACUUCAGUGAAUCCCUGAGGAACUAGAAUGUCCUCCCUCCCAUCCUAAGAAUUCCACUGCUUAGGAAGUGACCCAAAAGUGAUAGCCUCUAAAAUCCUCUCCCUGUUCCCAUAGAGCACUGCAGAAAGAUUCCAGGUGGAGAUCCUGACCCUUAGGAUGUGAAACUACUGGGAUGAGAUUUUUUUUUCUUCCUUUUUUUUUUUAAAGGGCAUUUUCUUUGCUGUUGAUAUCCAGUGCUUCACUGCUUUGUUAAUUAUGUUGUAAUUCCUCUCCUGUAUCCCUCCCAUUUAAUUAAUUGCCAGUUUCUGACAUUUCUAAACAUCUUAGCUGUCCCCUCCUUCCUUUUCCACUUUGACUGUCCUAUUUCAGGCCCUUCCUAUACUGUGGCAGCUGACUCCCUACCUUUAUCUGAGCAUUUGGUCUCACUCCCUUGCCUCACUCCCAGUCUUUCCUCUGUACUGCCUCCUCGGUGAUAUUUCUGACUCAGAACUCUGUAGUAUUCCCCUACUCAGUCAUCUUUGAUGAUGACUUUUAUCCUUCACUGAUUGGGUAAGACCUAAAUCUCUCUGGAAUGGCUUACAAGACUCUUUAUGAUCUUGUCCAAUGGGCUGUCCUAACUUUAUAGGUGGGAGAUUUGUGAGGAAGAACAGACCACUUGUAGAGAAAUAGACACUGCAUCUUUGUGCACUUAGGUAUAUGGGGGAUUCCAUAUGUGGUCCCAUUCAAAUGUAAGGAGAGAAAGUUUAAAACAGCUUUCUACAGUCUUUGCUUUGGCUGGUGAAAGGAGCAAAGUGAUCCUUCUCGUUUGUCAAACUGAGCACUUUCUAGGGAAGCCAAGAUCUUUGCAAACUGCUCAUGGAAAUUACUCUUUCUCUUUGCAGUAGAGGUGGGCCAUGGACCACUGAGGACACUUAUUAAGCAUGUACUCCUCAAAUAUUGAAGGAAGAGUCCAUCAGUAGCAAACUUUUAUUGAGAGACUGUGUUAGGCAUUGUGCUAGGUCCCAUGGAUACCAGUGAACAAGACAGACAUAGUCCCUUCAGGAAUCUGAGGUCAUAGCUGGGAAAAGAGACAGCUAAUUCCAAAAUGUUUCUCCAGAGAUAUAGCCAGUUCCAAACUAACUGUAGUCUUGAUCAUAACUCCUUUAUUUUUUAUUUUUUUCGUAACUCCUUUAGAGUUAUUGUUUUCAUAGUCUUUUUUCUUUUAUCAGUCUUUAUAGUGCUUCCUCUUUUUUGCUUUCAAAUCAGAAUUUAACAAAGCUUUUAUUGGCCCGGCUGACCUAUGUAGCAACAAUCUUCCCUUUGCUGCAGUGAGAGAAGUGGUCUGCAUUUAUUUUACUUUCCUCAAUUCUCAUCUUUCCCCAUGGGGGCCCAGUGUGCAAUGGCUGCAAACAGCAGCCUCCUCGGUAGUGUAUGCAGCCUGUUGCCUGAAUGGGUUGCCCUAAGGGACCUUGGAGACAGCCCUUUCCAGUGGACAUUCAUGACUGGCAUGAUGUCCCCAGUCUAGGCUCCAGACAGGUAUGUGCGGUGUGUUUGGAAAGCCCCAGGGCACAGUGGCCAGGGUCCACAUUGGCCAAAUCAUAAUGUCCAUCCACACCAAGCUGCAGAACAAGGAGCAUGUGAUUGAGGCCCUCCGCAGGGCCAAGUUCAAGUUCCCUGGCCACCAGAAGAUCCACAUCUCCAAGAAGUGGGGAUUUACUGUUUAAUGGGGAUGAAUUUGAAAACAUGGUGGCAGAAAAGUGGCUCAUCCCGGAUGGCUGUGUGGUCAAAUGCAUCCCUAAUUGUGGCCCCUGGACAAAUGAUGGGCCCUGCACUCUUGAGAGCUUUGGCGCUGUCCCCUCCUUACUCAUGCCCACCAAUAAAUCCUACUUUCCUGUCAAAAAAAAAAUUCUCAUCUUUCUUUGACUUCUGCAGUCCCACUUCUUCUCGCCACUUAAUUUACACUGUCUUCCAGUAGUCCUCAGAGGCCUUUCCUUAGUCUUCUCUAUGGCACCUAACACCGCUCAUGGUGCUCCCUCCUUAGUCUCAGAGCACUGUUGGAUACCGUCCAGUGUGCUCAGUCUCUCCCUUUGUCCCCACCACCUCUUCCCCCUGCCCCCUCCACUUGCCUCUCCCAUGAACCUCUAACAGACUCUUCCUCAACA